rnacentral:lncRNA from 1 species
CCUCUUCAUAUCAGGCACCAAGAUGCGAACGCUCGCAAGGAGCAAAGAGAAUCCUCCGGAUGGAUUUAUGUGCCCUGGUGGCUGGAAAGUGCUGGUUGAAUACUACGACAGUCUGACUCCAGCUGACAAUGGCAAAGUCCCCGUUCCACAGCUUAGAUGAAAUUGUUGUAUGAUAAUGUAUUUGUCAUUUGAUUGGGAGAAACUUUACAACCGAUUUAUCUCCACUGUCAACUGUCACAUCCAGAUUGUGAAAAAAAUUCUCUGUCCAGAUUUCUUAAUAAAACCAAGGUGAGGCACUGGUACAGAGACACAAGAUUUGCCUCUUUAUGUAAUUAAAGUGCCACUCUUGUGGCAUCUUACAUUACACUGGCAUUCUCAUGUCCUCCAUGAGAUUGCGUUGUACCAUAUUUGUGGUUUGUGUUUCAAUGGAAAACAGGGGUCCUGGAUUGUCGCUUUUUAGUUUUAGAAUAUGUUCCAUUUGAUGAUAUUUGUGGAAUUUCAUUUUCUUAAAAACUUCAUGUGGGCUUUCAACUCCUAAAAGUCCAUGGGCAUCAUCAGUUGACAAAUUAUUGUUACAUCAGCAUUGAAGUGCUCUUUGACCAUCUGUCUUCACACAAAGGAAAUUAAAAAAAAAAAAAAAAAAAGCCAAACAAAAAAGGCACUGUACUACGCCGAAAACAGAUGGGGGUGGUGGAUUCUCAAUUUACCAAGUUCAUUGCUAACUGAAAGUAGAGCUUUUCUCUUUUCAAUUAAUUGCCAACGAUUAUAUAUGCUUGUGGGUUUCUUUCUUUUUUUCUUCUGACAUUCAAGAUACAAGUGUACAUAAAUGUAUGUUACAUGUUCGAUAAAAUUACACGUUUAACGCUCUAAGUAUCUCUGGUGGGUAAAUGCAAAUAUGCAAUUAUGUUGGUUCUUUGGUUUAGUUAAUGACUAUUUGAUGAGCUUUCAAUUCACUUGCAAGGGUCAAAUGUCUUGCACCUCAGGACUAGAAAUUAAAAAGAGACACAAGUCCACUCUUCCAUUCUUAGAAAAAAAAAAGGGGGGGAUGUUUUAUGAACUACAGUACUUUUUAUUUCAAGCAUACAUGUGCUAUAAAUUAAAACUAAUCAGCUGCAAAGUCUCAAUACGACAUAUAUACCGGGAAAAUGUAAGAAUUGCUGAUAAAAGAAUUUAAAGAACAAUCUAUAACUACAAGCCUACUUCUUCCACUUGAGAUAGCUGGAAAACGGUUUCGCUGGAACGGGUAUGCACUUGACCAGCCAACCAAUUGGCCAAGAAGCAGCUGCGAAACCAAUACAUGCGCUCCAUUGGCCCCAGUUCAGCCUCUCUGUAUCUGCAAACUUCUUCAGAAAUUCCACCAUCACCACUUGAAGAACAAUGGUUGUCCCGAUAAUCCCCAGAAACAGCCUGUUCUUAUGUAUCCCCUCAAAGACAUUCUUCUUUUCAAGCUUCCUCGCGUUGAAUUCGUUGAACACCUGGCAAAGGACAAAUGUGUUGAAGAUCAAGGUUUCCUUUACCUCCUUAUUUACAAGAAAGAUGGAUUCACCUCUGAACUGUAAUGUCAAGAGGACUGCUCUCUGAUAUAAAGCUUGGGCCACAAGGUUCCUCCACAUGAUGUUGGAGAUAAGUGGCUCAGUUCGACCAACGGGUGGUUUGUCCAUGAGCUCCUUGGUGGGCUUCUCUGUUGCCAGAGCGAGGGCGCCUAGCGUGUCCAUGAUCAGAUUCACCCAAAGUAAUUGGACUGCUGUAAGAGGGAUUUCCCCUGCGUAAACUGCUGCGACAAAGUUGAUUAGAAGAGCAGCAACGUUUGCCGUAAGCUGGAACUGAAUGAGUUUUUGGAUGUUGGUGUGGACACAUCUUCCCCAUCUCAACACUGUGGCUACCGAAGCAAAGUUAUCAUCCAAGAUGACAAUAUCCGAGCUCUCCUUGGCCACUUCCGUUCCUUGGAUUCCCAUGGACAGUCCUAUAUCUGCUUCCUUCAGAGCUGGUGCAUCGUUUGUGCCAUCCCCGGUGACAGCAACCACAUGACCUUUCUGUUUCAAGCACUGGACCAUGAGAAGCUUAUCGAAAGGAGAGGAUCUCGCCAUCACGCAGAUUUUGUCAACUUUCUCCAUUCUCUCCUCAUGUGUAUAGCUUCUGAAUUCCUCUCCUUCUAGCACAGCACCAGUGGACGUGUCCUGACCUGGCUUGAGUAUUCCACAUUCAGUGGCUAUGGCUUUCGCAGUGAACACGUUGUCUCCGGUGAUCAUCUUGAUGUUCACUCCAGCAUAUUGGCAAUCUUCCACAGCUUUCUUUACCCCUGGACGACAUGGGUCCUUAAUACCCACCAAUCCUAAUAGGGUUAAGUUGUCUUCAAUUAGCUUCUUCUGAUCUUUUUCAUUUCGAUGCUCUUCUUCUGGAACUUGUUUGUGCGCAAAAGCUAUGCAUCGGAGGCUGCUAGACGCCAUGCCUUGAAUAAUUUGCUGAAAUCUUUCCUUUUCAUUAUCAUCCAAAUUUUUUAUGUUUCCAGAAGCAUCAUAGUAACUUGAACACAUUGCUAGAAUCAUCUCUGCUGCUCCUUUCCAGUGCACGUGGCUUGUGUUGUCCGUCUUCUUCUUCAUCAUGACCCCACUACGCUUCUUUUUCGAAUUGAAGGCUUCCACAUGGAGAACGAUAACCAUCAGCCACCUUUGUGCCAGAGAACAAGAAUGGAUUCUGGCUGCUGUUAACCUCCACAUGAUCACUCUCCCCUGUCAUGCUUGAUUCGUCUACUUGUAACGAAUGGCCAUCUAAGAACAAUCCAUUAGCAGGUACUUGAUCUCCAAUCUUUAAACAUAUGACAUCUCCAACGACAAUUUCAAAGAUAGAUAUUUGUUGGCGGCGACCUUUUCUAAUGACAUCAAUUUGUAUAUUGUUGCUGACUUUUGAAAACUUAUCAAACUGUCGAUUCUGUGUAAAGUUGCUUCCAGCUGAAACGGCAAUGACCAAAAAGACAGCAACAAGUAUGCUUCCACCCUCAUACCAUCCCUCUUUCAAGCCAUGCUCCUUAAUGCCGAAGGCAAGAGAAAGCACAGCACAGCCUAAAAGAAUCAAGAUGGUAAGAUCUUUAAGAGCGUCCACAACAAAGUAGAACAAGCUCUUAGAUGGAGGUUUCUUGUACGUGUUUGAACUAAAUGCUUCAUGUCUCCGAGCAAUAUCUUGAUCAUUGCCAAAGAUUCCAGCAUCAAAAUCUGUUUCGAGAGCAGAGGCUACGCCGCGAAUCCCGCCAAACUCGUGAAGUUUGUCGAGAUCUUUCAUCUUCACAAGCUCAACAAGACUCGUUUGAUCAAUCUUGAAUGAUUCAUCAUCGUGUUGAAGAUUUACAACGGUGUAAGAUGGAGAGCGGGAAACCUUGUUGACACCCUUCUUGGCUUUAGCAAUUUCUGCUAGUGAGAAAAGUGUUCUGGAGCAGUAGAUUUUAGUGAAAGCUGAGUGCCAUUUUUUGGUGGGCACGUUAUGGGUGGCCGGAAAAUUGAGCAAAGACUCUAUGGAAACAGCGUUUGCAUGGAAAAUGGUAGACAUAGACAUAGUAUUGUGAUUGAUAGGAGACAAAAUGAAAUUAUAAAAGAGAAGAAACAAAGAUGAUUUGAAAAAUAUUUAAUCUGCACUAAUUGGACAAAGCUAGGAAUUUGAGAAUACUUAAAAAUAGAUAAGCAAAUAACAAAAUGCUGGGAGGGAUGUGUAAAGCUUCAAUUGGUUCGUAUUUAUUUUACGUAGAAGUGCGCUAGUCGGUUUGUGGGGGUUUCGCUGGAGAUCACGCAUGUGACUGCAUGUCUGCUGGUUUUGCUGACUUUAAUUACUAUGGCUGCUUGUUCACACGACACGUUUGCAAUUACUUUUGCCACGUAUAAGUCCUCGUUGUCAAGGCCUGUGAGACUUGUGGGUCCCACUGUACCCCUCUAUCCGUUCAUGUCAUCGUGUUAUAUGAUACUGAUAGUCCGAGGUGGAGCUGCAAAAGCGGAUUAGCUUUUUUUGUUUUUGUUUUUAAUACCAAUGCGUCUUAAUUUUUAUGUCACAGUUGUUAUAAAAAAAAAGAAAUUAUCAGUUAUAUAUCUUUAAAUGACACUCGUAUCAAACGUGUGUGCAGGGACGAAGCUAACACCAUUUUUUAGGGUGGACUAAAAUUUUUUUAAUUACUAUCCAUACCAGGCAUGCACGCUACCAACUAUUCAUACAUGUUUGAGAUAAACCAACAGUUCAUCCGGAUUAGAAAGACUUUCUUCAAUUACAGGGUCUUCCUUGAAAAUUCAAAUCAAGCAUGCAAAUUAGGAAAUUUAUGUAAUUAACUAAAAUAUUAUUUCCAAAAAUCUUACCCUGGCUACAGCCUGGGUAAGCCACCCUUUAGCUUCGCCCCUGAGUGUGCGAACACUUUUCAAGUGUAUUACUCGCAUACUCUAAAUUGACAAAACACUUCGGUCGUCCACCAAUCUGUUAACUUCCGUUAGAAAGUUAACAGAAUUAUGGUAAAUUGACUAUUUCGCCCUUGAAACUCAAAAUGAGGUAAAAAAAUAAAUUUAUCCAAAAAAUUAACGUAAAUUUUCAAUACACAAUUUUUUUAUUUUUUUUAUUAACAAUACAUUUUUUGAUUAAAAAUGAAUUAUUAAUGGUACAUAAUAUUAACAAUUAUCCAUAAAAAAAUAUCCAUAUUAUACCAUAAAAAAUUAUUAACAACAUAUUAUUUACAAUUAUACAUAUUAUACCAUAAAAAAUUCCAAUUGGAGCUUGGAGGAGUAGAUCUUCAAAAAUUUAGGUUAAAUUUUAGAGGAAUAGAUUCGGUUGUAAAGUUUUUUUUUUAGCAAUUAUUAACAAUUAUCUGAUAAAUGGGAUGACAUGUCAUGUUUAUUAAUAUAUAUCAUAUGACAUGUCAUUUUUUACUAAGUAAAUGGGAUGACAUAUCGUUUUUGUUAGUCAAAGUUUCAUUCAUCUUAAAAAACUAGAUUACCCUUAUGAUGUCAGUGCUUGCAAACGGAAGUUAACAGAUUGGUGGACGACAGAAGUGUUUUGUCAACUUAGGGUAUACGAGUGAUACACUUGAAAAGUGUUCACACACGUUUGAUACGGGUGUCAUUUAAGGGUAUAUGGCUGAUAAUUUUCUUAAAAAAAUUAUAAUUAUAAAAUAUAAAUUAAUAUUGUGUAGUAGAUAUAAUUUUUAAAUAAUAAUUUUCAUUAAAAUAGUAAAAAUAUCAUAGGUUAUUCAUCAUAUAAGUGUUUGAUUAAUUCAACAUAACUUUCAAGCCAUAAUAGUUAAUGUUUACUAUAUAUUUUAAUGCUGUACAUUUUAAACUACAGCUAUAUAACCUCAAUAUCAACAUAGCCUUACUUAUACUUUCAUCUAAUAAAACAUUAUUAUUUAUAUAAUUUUCUAUAAGAGUAAAUUUAAAAUAAAUAAAAUUUUAUUAUUGGUGCAUGAACUUUCUUCUAUAUAUGUAUAUUUUUUUUUCUUAUUUGAUUAUAAGCAAAAUAAAAAAUUGAGAUCCCUUUAAAACUUGUUUGGUAAAUUUAGAUUGAGAAUUAUGAUGAUAUUCCUACAACUUAACGCAAGUUUUAAUUAUUUUUUUUUUCAAAUUCAAUAUACUUUGUUUGAAGAAAUAUUAAGUAAUAAUAACCAAAAAUAGUAUCAAUAUUCGAUCGUAAUAUUGGUAAUGUAUAAAAAGUGAAAGGAGUUCUAUAUGACUUAACUCUUGUUGAUUUAAUUUAUAUUCGAAUUUAUUUUUAUCUUAAAUGAUAUAUCAUUCAUUGAUUGAAUGAUGAAACAUAAUAAUUAAUAAUUUUAUUAUUGAUAGAAACUUAUCAUCGAUGAAUGGCACCUUAACUUGGUAUCGGAAAAGUUGAUUUACUAGUAGAAAAAUUAAUGCAAUAUUUAUUCAUCCAUUGAAUGGAACAGGAAACGUAUCGAUGUUGGAUUUCCAAGAAAUGACCAAACUAAAGUCGCGUCCGGUGCAAAGAAAAUGCUAUGUGAAUGUAUAUUCCGAGUCCACUGACAUAGUGGAUGGAAUAAUGCGUAAUGGGUCCGCCUAAGUUACAUUUAAUGUAACUUAUGGUCUGGUUGUACAAUUUCAUCCAACCCCCAUAUUUGAUGUUAUUUAUAUUAUAUUAAUGAAUAUUAUAAAACUUUUUGAUUUAGAAAAUUUCGUUUAACCCCUUAUACUUAAUUUUAUUUUAUUGAAACCUUAUAGUACGAAUUCGCCACCUAUAAUUUUAAAUUCUCAAAAUAACCUCAUUUAAUUAAAUUUUUAAUUAUUAUUAAUUGAAUUAUAAUUAUAAUUAUUAUUUUAUUACAAUCAUAAUCAUAAAUAUAUUUAUAUUUUUUAAAUAGAUUAUUGUUAUUAUUAAUAACAAGAAUAAAAAGUAUUACAAUUAAUUAAUCUAUUAAUAAUAAUUUUUAUUAAAUUGUUAAUAAUAAUAAUAAUGAACGAUAAUUAUUAUUAAUAAUUAAAUUUUGAAUAAUAAUAACAAUAAUAAUGAAAAUAAAAAAUAAUAAUUAUAAUAAAAAUUAAUUAAGGAUUUUAUAGCAAUUGGUUUACAAUUUUAACUCAUUCUGAUUUUGUUUCUAAAAUAAAAUAAACACAUAAAUGGUAAUACAGCUUAUUCUAAUUACGAUUUCUUCAGUUUAAGUAAAUAAAUUAUAAUGUUAUUUUGUUUAUUUAUUUAUUUUUCUCUGAAACGUUUUCUAGAGAGAGAGAGAGAGAGAGAGAGUGUGUGUAGAUUUUUUUAACUUUUGAAAAUAAUCACGUUUUGUAAGAUCUUACAAUAGAAUAAGAUGCAGAUCAAUUUUAACUCGAUGAAAAUAUAUUGGUUGUUAGAAAAAAAGUAAAUUAAAAAUAAAUAUUUGAGAAAAUAUAUUAUUAAAUGAAUUUUAAUUAUUAUUAAAUGAAUUUUAAUUUAUUUACUUUAAAUGAAGAAAUCGUAAUUAGAAUGAGUUGUAUUAUCAUUUAUGUAUUUAUUUUGUCUUAGAAUUAAAAUCAGAAUGAGUUAAAUUAUAACCAAUUGCUAUAAAAUCCUUAAUUACUUUUUAUCAUAAUAAUUAUUUUUUAUUUUAAUUAUUAUUAUUUUUAUUAUUAUUAUUUAAAUUUUAAUUAUUAAUAAUAAUUAUGGUGAAUUAUUAUUAUUAUUAUUAAUUUAAUAAAAAAUAUUAUUAAUUAUUGUUAAUAGAUUAAUUAAUUGUAAUACUUUUUAUUCUUGUAAUUAAUAAUAACAAUAAUCUAUUUAAAAAAUAUAAAUAUAUUUAUGAUUAUAAUAAAAUAAUAAUAAUUAUAAUUCAAUUAAUAAUAAUUAUAAUUUUAAUUAAAUGAGGUUAUUUUGAGAAUUUAAAAUUAUAUGGGGCGAAUUCGUACUCUAGGGUUUCAACAAAAUAAAAUUGAGUGUAAGGGAUUAAACGAAAUUUUCUAAAUCAGAAAGUUUUAUAAUAUUCAUGAAUAUAAUAUAAAUAACAUCAAAUAUGGGGGCUGGAUGAAAUUUUACAGUCAGACCGUAAGUUACAUUAAAUGUAACUUAGGCGGACCUUAGUGGAAUGUGAAAUUUCCCCAGCAGUACCGGCCGAAAAUGAAACAUUUCAUUCAAAGUCAGUGAGCCGUUUAGAGUUGUUAUAUUGACUAAACAAAACUUAAUUUCAUUCUUCAAGUUCAUAGGUGGAAUGUAAGAUUAAGAAAUUGGUGCCAAAUACAAUUGACCAAAGUUUUCAGAAACACGAGUUUCUUGAUAAAGCAAUAUCUCUUUUGGACGUAUUUACUUGCAAAACAUUUAUUUAUUGCAUUAUGGUGAGCGGGUGUUAGUCGACUUUUUCAUGCAGUUGUGAGAAAAUGGUUUUGGUAUCAGAUCCUGGAUUAAUAUGUCUACAUAUAUACUUUUUGAGAAGCAUUUGAAUCAGAUUCUGCACUUUCAAUUCUGAAGAAUAAAGCGCUCAAAGAUUUUUAGUUAGGGAAAAAAAAUAAAAUGUAAAAUCACCCGGAAAUGCAUAAGCAAAAUCCUAUAGAUUCUUUGUUAUGAUGAGAAAUUUACUUACGUAAGCGUGUUUCUGAGAAAGAAACUUUGGGAUAAUAAAAGUUCCUUGACAAAUUGAGUUGUCCCCCGGCCAGUGUCAGCCCGUUUCUUAUUCAUGAAAUGUACGGGUUGCUUACCCUGCUUACUGUCUUCACAGUUCUUUUGUAAGAGCCCCUUUUUAUAACAAAAAAUAAAAAUAAAAGUUCCUUGACUAGCGUGAGUUGCCUUUACUGAUAUGAAGUUGCUCAGGGCGGGCAAAUGACUUUUGACUCCAGAUUCUGAAACAUUUUCGACCUGCAGGUUUUUUUUUCUUCCAUCUUGUGACAAUUUCAUGUCCAACUCAUCAUCUCUAUCCAUUAUGAUGACCCCAUACUUAUGAAUUUCCAAAUUUUGUGGGAAGGUUUGUUUAACGGUAAUAUAUUAUUGUUAGGGGUGGCAAUGUUAUCCGUAAAUUUAUAAAUUUGUCUAAAUCCGCUUUGAGUAAUUUUCUAGAUUGUGGGCAUAUUUAGUAUUAUAACUUGAAAUCCGCAUUAGACAACGAGUGCAUUUGAUAUUAGCCAAAUAUCCAGUGGAUACCCGCACGAGCAUCUAGCAAAUGCGCAACUUUUUUUUUUUUUUUAAAUUUAAUUUAAAUUAAAAAAUACUUAAAUCUACAAAUAUACUUAUAUACUUAUUAUAAUUUUGAUGGAAUUUUCUUUAACUCAAUGUAUGAAUUAUUGCAUUAUUAUAAUUUUGUUCUUUAGAUUAAUAUUUAAAAAUUAUUAUUCUUUAGAAAAUAUUAAUUUUAAUCAUUAAUGUGAGAAUCGUGUUGAAUAAGUGUUAAUGGUGAUGAUGAAAUGAAGAUUUUCUCUUAGGAGUUUGUGUUGAAUGAUAAUAUGAAAUGAUAACUGUUAUUUUUAGAUACUAAUUUGUGUCUUUUUUUUUUUAAUAGAUUUGUAUAUUUUAUACUUAAAUUUAAGAAUUUGUGUUGAAUUGAUGUUGAAAUUUUAAUUUUUCAUUUACAUUGGUUAAUUAGAAUUGAUAUGUUAUGUGGAAGUUAAGAUUAUUAUUAUAAAUUUACAUAUUAAAUAUUUAUGAUUUUAAAUAUAAAAACCCGUAAAAAAUUUAAUAAAUACCAUUGCAGAUUUGAUAAUUGUCAAAAUUUGUAGAGAGUAGAUUUUCUUAAAAAAUUUAAAAUCUACAGUAAAUUACGAGUGAAUUUGAUACUUUAAAUUUUAUGCGGAUGUGAGCUUGCUAAUGAUGAAGCCGCUACCGGCUGUGCCCAUUACCACUGGAGGGUUGUGAUUCAAAGUUUAUAUUUAUAAUUUAGUUGAUGUGACUUACAUAUGAUGUCAUGUAAUUGCAAAUUAUUAUGCGUUAAGCAAUUACUUACGGCACCGCAUAAUUUUUCUGUCAGUCUGAUGAUAUUCAGGAUGGUCACGUACGUUACGUUGAUUAAGAAUAUAACAUAAGUUUAUAUCUUAACUUUAUAAAUGAGAACUAUUUCUUAUUUGAUUAACUUAAAAAAAUUUGGCUAAUUGUUUGGGGCGGGACUACUGAGAUAUGAGUCUACCACAUCAUUUGUACGACUAUUUAAUAAUAAAAAAGUUUUAAAACACAUUCAUUAUUUUAUUAGAUGAUCUUGCCUGUCUUGAAAGUUGUCAAAGUUUAAAAUAUGUAUCAUAACUACGCGUCCAUUGUAGUGUUUUCUAGAAAAUUUUAAAAUUCCUCGGCUGAGGCCCAGUUAUUUAGAGUCAGGCGGAUUAUUUCACCAUAAAUUAAGGUAGUGUUUAUUUUUUAGAUUGGAGUGCGAAUCCUGAAAAAUAUGAAUCUUAGGAUUGGGAGUGUGGAGUGAGAUUGAGAGUAGAUUGUUUACUUGCACUGGAAUUGAAGCAUGGAAUGAAGAUCAGAAUCCAAUUUAUGUGUUUACUUUGUCUUAGAUUAGGAGUAAAUAGUUUCAAAUUACAAUUUUAUCCUUAUUUAAAGAAUAAUAAUUUUUAAUUACAAAGUUAAUAAAAAUAUAUUUAAUGAAUAAACAUUUAUUUUAUUAUAUUUUUAAAUUUAUAAUAAUUAUUAAUAUUCUUAAUUAUGACCAUCACAAUUUUUAUUAAUUUUAAUUUUAAUUAUAUAAAUUAAAAAUUGUUGAUAAGGGCAAUAUAAAUGAAAUAUUUUUACUAUUAACAUAGUAUGAAAUUAAUAUUUUCUUAGAAUAAACUAUUUAUUAGUAUUAAUUAUUAAUAUUAAAUAAAUAUAAUACUAUAAUUUUUAAAUAAAUAUAAUAAUAUUACAUUUUUCAAAUAAAGAUGGUAUAUAAUAAUAUUAUUAAUUCUCUAUUAAUAUAAUAAUAUUAUUUUAAAGUAAAUUAAACUUAGAAUCAAACCCAAUUAUUAUUAAGUUAAAUAUAAUAAUAUUAUUUAAAUAUUUAUUAAAUAUAAUUAUAGUAAAUUUAAUAAAAAGAAGGGUAAAUAUAAAAUGAAACAUUAUUUUAUUUAAUAUAAUUAUAUUAAAUUUAUUAUUUAUUAAUAUAAUAUUAUUUAGUACAAAAUUAAUAUUUUCUUAGAAUAAACUAUUUAUUAUUAUUAAUUAUUAAUAUUAAAUAAAUAAAGUACUAUUAUUUUUAAAAUAAAUAUAAUAAUAUUAUAUUAUUAAAUAAAGAUAGCAUAUAGUAAUAUUUAUUAAUUCUCUAUUAAUAUAAUAAUAUUAUUUUUAAGUAAUUUUAACUUAUAAUCAAUGCAAAUUAUUAUUUAGUUAAAUAUAAUAAUAAUAUUAAAUAAAUAUAAUAAUAUUUAUUUUAUUUUAUUAAAUAUAAAAUAUUAAAUCAAAUUAAAUUAAAUUAAAAAAAAAGAGUAGAAAACCCACUCCCACCUCUCCCAUGGGAGUUCCACUUCCACUCCCCACUCUAAAAAUGGGUGAGGCCCACGGAAUGAGAUUCUGAAUUCUUUCCUAAUUAGUUGGAGUAAACACUGGAGUGGGAGGAAUCCAUACUCCUCACUCCCACUCCAGAAAGUAAACAUACCAUAAGAGAAGUGGAAGAGGAUUAGGAUUUAAAAGUCAAGCCAAAUUAGUAAACUGGGGUCCCCCAUUGUAAGGAUAAGCUCAAAUGACCCGGAAUUGGCUGCCGAAACGCCCAUACCUGAUCAAUUUCUGAGGAGGGCCGCCAUAUUUGUCGCCAUAAACAAAAAGUUUAGCAGAAGAGAAGGAAAUGGAAUCUUUCCUAGAUCCAAUGCUUGACAAAACAUCCUUAAUUUCAGUUCGCAAACUUUAUUAGCUACUAAUUAGAUUCAUUAGGAGAACAACAAAGACACUUCCCCCAUAUGGGUGCAGAAUGCUCUAAUCAUUUCAUCAACUAAUCCUUUUGUGUUUAAAUAAAGUGAUAUGUGAAUUUCCACCAAGUCUCUUCUUUCUGAUCUAUCAACUUUACAUUAGAAAAAACAAGUGUGUGUGAGGGUCCAAAACGCAUCACUUUUGAGCAUGGCCAGUGUAACACCCGGUGUUUUUGUUUUAUUAUUAUUAUUAUUCUAUUUUAUAGAAUAUAUUAUCUUGGGUUAAUAUAUUUAAGGGUAUUUUAUUUUUAUUUUAUUAUACUGUAUUUUAUUUUUUAAAAUGUCAAAUCACUUAACAUUUUUCCUUUUCAUUAAAUACUUUAUUUAAAAACAAAAUAAAUUCCUUAAUGGGUAAGGGUAUUAAAAAGGCUGGACUUAUAAAAAAAAAAUCCUAUACGCUUAUUUUAUUUCUCAAAACCCUAGAGACUAAUAAUGAGGAGAGAUUAUAAUAACAAACACAACAAUAAACUCAUGUUUUUCACGAAGAGAGGGGAAGAUUUUGAUUGUAUUUCUGUUUUUCCAUCAAAGAAGUUCUUGAGUUCUGAUUUUGUUUUGAAGGUACAUAAAAAUUUAUAAUCCUUUGAACUUCUGGUUUUGAUUGUGAUUUUAUGUGAUUGAUUAGAUGACUUUGUAUGUAUUAUUUUGAUAAAAGUGUGAAACCAUAAUUAUGUAUUGAUUUAUGUUGUUAUUGAGUGAAAGUAGUGCUAUUAUAUUAUCUUGAAAAACUCUAAACAAUAUAGAUUCAAUGCAACAUUACUGCUAUUUUCAUUAAGUUUCAUGCAUAAAACUUUAUAGUUUAUUAAAUUAGACAUUUUUAUCUUUCUAUCCGUGUGUCUAUCGUUCUAAAACUCAUUGUGUAUAGUUGUUUUGAUUUUUCGAAAUUGGAACACUGGUGCUAGAAAAUUUUGAUUUUUAGCAGUAAUUAUCAUUUCUAUAAUUUAUUUCAUAACCCAUAUGACUCCUGAAAAUUUUGGGAACUUUUAUUACAAUACACAUUUAUGUACUGUUUAUGUAUUUUUGAUUUCGUAAUUUUUGUCUUUAUAUAAAAAUCAUUAAAAAUCAUAGAGUUGGGCUGCUGCAAUCUUGGAAACUGUUUUCUAUAAUUGCAAGGGCUGAUAUUUAAGCGAGUUUGGGUUAACUUUUCAUCACUAAAUGCCUUAUAAAUUUUAAUUUUGAUUUCUUAUUGUCUCCUCUGAUCGUCAAAAUUGGAAUCACUAUUUUUGAACUUGUAUAACUAAAGUUAUGAAUUUUUGAAUUAGUUGUCCUCUGUUUAUAUUGUCACUGGACAACUUUGAUGCUUUUGUAAAAAAUCAAUUUUUGGAGAUGUUUAUGAACUCUAAUUAAUUUUGUUUAAUUUUAUAUUGAUUGCCAACAUGUUUACAAUAGCUUUUUGUAAUAUUUGUAAUUUUUCCGAUACAGUUAUAGCUUGUUGGAAAUCAACUCCUCUAUGAUAGUUUAGCAUAGUUUAGUGAAUUGAUGUGCUUAAGUAAGAGUUCAUGGUUUAAGAAUUUUUGGGCUUUCCUACCAAGGUCAGAAUUGAAUAAGAUAUUGAUAAGCAUCUUGUCUUGAUAAUUAUAUGCCAAGAGUGACCUCGUGCGGUUGAGGUUAUUGUUGAUUGCUUUGGAUCAAGGUAAGUGAAUUUAUGCAUAAUGUUUAUUAUAAAUAUAUAUGUAAAUAUUUAUGAAUAGAAUAAUAUUAUUCAAAUAGAUUGGCAAGUUAUGGUUUUGAAGCUAUUUUAAAACAUUUUCUUAAAUUUGUUUUAAGAAUAACUUUAAAUUACUUGUUUUCUAUAAAAUAUUUUCCUGAAAAAUAAUUGUAAAGCUUUGCCAAUUCAUGUCUUAUAAGCGUUUUAUCGAAAUAUUACUAAAUGACUGAUAUUACAAGACUAAAAAUCAUUUUUGAAGGUUUUGGCUCAUUGUUCGUAGUUAUCGUUACUGAUAUUAUUGAAUAGCUAGUUGUAUUAUAGGCACCUAUUGACAUUUAUUGCAGGGUAAAGUACCUCGGUUGAACUAUUGGCCGAGUCACCAAGAUUACAGAUGACAUAUUGAACUAUUGCCCUGAUCACCAGGAUUACAGGUGACAUAUUGAACUUUGGCCGGCCGGUUCACCGGGAUUACAAGUGACAUAUUAAACUAUUGGCCGAGUCACUGAGAUUACAUGUGACAUAUUAAACUAUUGACUAGGUCACCGGGAGUACAUGUGACACUAUGAGGUAUGAGCAAAUUGAACGAAAUAAAGAUUUUAUUGAUAAAAGAUUUCUUAACGAUUAUUCAUUGAAAAUGAUCAUUACAUUAUGACUUAACUAGUUAUGAGUUUUGCCGCACACAUAUGAUUAUAAAAUGAUUACUGUUUCUUGACUCAUGGUACUUCAUAAUAAUGAUUAUAUACUUUUUCAUUAUUUGUAACCUUAUGCAUGUGUUUGCUUACUGAGUUGACGGCUCACUUCUCUUCUCCAACAUUUUGCAGAUUGAUUUUAAAGAUGUGGUCUUUUGGUCUAUCAGAGAGGAUUUUUAGUUGAAAAUUUUUGGCAUUUUCUAAAUUAAUUAAUUGUAGUUACUUUAAUUAUUGCUUAGAGCUGGAUUUUAUUUUGGAGGAUUAUUCAAUUAUUUAUUAUUUAAGAGACUAUACUUUGUUAAUGGACAACAUCAACUUUAUUUGGGAAUAGUAAUAAGAUUAAUAUUAUAAGAUUUCAUUCCAAAUUUCUCUUGCGAUUUUUAGGUGAAUUUAGGGUGUUACAAUUAGAGCUACAGUGUUUCAAGGAAAUGCACAGUUUUUUUGCUGCCCUUAGCCUUAAAAUUUUUUUGCUGCCCUUAGCCACCCCACAUUCAGCAAGCUUAAGGGUGCGUUUGGGAUUGAGGUGCUGUAGCUUUUAAGCUACAGCUGCUGUGAAAAAAAAGUUGUAAUUAUGAAACAAAAGUUAAUAAUAUAUAGUAAAUAUAAAUUUUAAAUAAUAAUUUUGAUAAAAUUAUUAAAGAUAUAAUAAAUUUUGUAUUAUACAAGUGAAAAAUCAUAUCAACAUAGCUUAAAAGCUACAGUAGCUAGUGUUUACCAAACACUUUAGUGCUGUAGCUUUUAAGCUACAGCUGCCCAACCACAAUCCCAAACGCACCCUAAAUAGGUUUUAUCCACAAGAUGAGUAUAAUGAGCACUCUAAUAUUUAAAAUAAUUUUUAGUAAAAAAAAAUCAAAUAUAUGGUCAACGACCCAACGUUAAAGUCAAGUAUAAAAUUGAAGUGCAAGAAGACGAUCUCCAAUUUUCCGCAACUCAAUUAUUGUUUGGCGUAGUCAGAACUAUGCAUUUAAGAUUAGAAUUAUAUAUUUUACGUCAUUGAAUCGCGCAAUUGCGAAUUUGAUCGCCAAUUUGGCAUUUUUUGUUUCACUGUUUGAAAAUUUUUUAUGAUAUUUUUAAAUUUUAAAAAUUCGAAUAAAUAUUAUGAAAUUUGAAUAUCAUCAUUUUUUAUGUCUCUAUUCAUUGGGGUCAUACCACAACACUUACUAUUUAAAGACACUUACUGAAUAAUGUUGAUCUACAUGUAGAUAGAUCGUGAUAUCUUUAUAAGAGUAAUGUUAUACGUCCUAAAGUUUUAUAUCAAAAUUUAAUCUUAAAUAAUAUGUUAUUUAUCAAAUAAAUAGUGGAAUGAUAUAAUUUAAUUCACUUGAAAAUUAUAAAAAAAAUUAUUAACAAUUUGAGAAAGGAAAAGCAGCAGAGGUGGAAUCCUCCCCCCAGGGCUGUUUUUAAAGUCAAUGUUGAUGCAGCCACCAAUAGCCAACAGAAGAAGGUUGGAUUGGCAGCAGUUAUAACCAACUCAAAAGGCAAGAUUAUAGUUGCAGGCAUUAAUUAGUCUCAUUUAAAGGAAGACAUCAGUAUUGCAGAAGCUGAAACAGUUGAGUGGGGUCUUCAGGUGGCAAGGAAAUUAACUCUUCCAUGCUUGUUAGGAGAAAGAGUAAUAAAGGUAUUUGUGAAAUAAAAGAGGGUGUUAACAGAAAUUAUAUGAUGCCGUAAAUUAGUUAAUAGGCUUUCUUAUUUUUAUUUUUUUUGGGUCCGAGUAUUUUCAAACCAGACAAUCAGAAGACAGUGGAUUCUUUCACUCUGUAGAAGUUGAUAUUGGUAGAUGCAUGAGUGUUUUCUGGGCAGAUGGCAGGUCUAGAUUUUCAUGCAGUCAAUUUGGAGAUGCUACUAUUUUUUAUACUUCAUAUAGAAAAGGAGUUUUAAGAGGAUAAUAGAAGGGUCCCAAUGGUUCCAAUUCCAAAAAAACAUAUGCCUCCCUCGGUACUGCACAUGAAGGCCGGGAGAGACUGAGUAGAGCUGACCCUGCGGAAGCCCAAACCAACUUGGGCAGGCCCCAGUCUUUAGCUGCAGGCCCAAUGAAUACUAUGAUUUUGCUUAUUCAUUCGGCUUGAAUGGGUCGGGCUGAGUCGAUACUAUUAAGUUUUAACACUUUCUUUCGCACAAUCCGUACGCUGCAACCAGAAAUCAGCAAGUAUUGGCAAUGAAAUAUUCAGUGCACAACUUAAAUUAAGUUGAUCAUGACAUAACUCACAUGUUUACCCUUAUAAAUAUUAGAGGAGCCCUUACUACACUCGUACGUAACCCAUACACAAGGGUAAAGCUAUUAAGGGGGCAGAGCUGGGCUAUAGCCUAGGCAAAAUUUGACAAAUUUUUUUAGUUUUUUUUUUUAUAUUAUAUAGUGCUAAUGUUGUUCACAAUUAAUAUGCAGUUUUUACAAAACCAUACACCACUGUUAUAUUUUAUAAAAACUGACAAAAUAAUGUUUAAAAGUUUAUCACUCAAUUUGUUUUAGAAUUUGGUAUGGUAAUAGAUCACGAUAUCUUUAUAAAAUUCAUUACAAAUAUUUCACAAUCGUCUAAAAUUUCUAAUUCAUAAUAAUAUUGUAAAUUCAUAAAAUUUUAGGAAUUAAAGAAAAUUUUUAAAAGCUGUUCAAGGAAAAACUUGAAAAUUACUAUCCAAUUGAUGUAUAAUCUUCUUUAGUAUCUGGGAAUUUGUUCCAUGGACAAUUUUUAGUUGUUCAGAAUGAUAUCUUAAAUGGUUAGUCAUGCCAUUUGAUUUAAAAGAUAAACCACAAGUAUUUCAAGAUUGAUAACAAUGGUAUUAUAUUAAUAACCCCAAAUGGAGAAAAUUUCUUUAAAAAAUUAACAUUUGUUCAAACACAUAUGGUGUCGUAUGAAAAGAAGUCAAUAACAAUUAAAAAAUAAAUAGAUAUGUAAUAUUUUGAUUCAUUAUUAGAAGAAGACAAUAUGGUAGAAAAUUAGCUAGAAAGAAAUAUUCACGAAAGUGAUGAGCUAGAAAACAAUGAAUUGAAAUUUUAGACUCAAUAAAAUUAAUCAUAUUUUAUUAUAGAUAGUACAAUUUUUACCAAAAAAUGAUGUGCAAGUUUCUAAAAUAUUUAUUUCAAAAUCUGAUUGUAAUUCUAAGUUGUUACUAGUUUUUGAUUCACUACUACUAUAUUCACUAAGAUUACAAGUUAAAUUUGUAUUUUUAUAAUUUGCAAGUAUAGGUCAAUUACACAAUCAUAUAAAAUUUCCAAUUCAUUGUUUCUAUCUCAUCAUUUUUGUGCAUCUUACGUUCUACCUUGCUUUUUUUUUUUUUUUUCCAUCGUAUUAUCUUCUUCUAACAAUAAAUCAAAAUAUUACAUGUCUAUUUAUUUUUUAAUUGUUAUUGACUUCUUUUCACAUGACAACACAUAUUUUUCAAAUUUAAGUUCAAAAAUGUUGAUUUUUUUUUUUUAAAAUUACUCCAUUACAUUACCAUUGUUAUCAAUCUUGAAAUGCUUGUAGUACAUUUUUUAAAUAAAAUGGCAUGACUGACCAUUCAAAAUGUCCUUCAGCACAACUAAAAGUAUAUAGAAAAAAGCCUCUAAAGUGCUCAAAGCUUUCAUCUUCAAGCCUAAUGGCAAUCUUCCUUGAUUGCCAUAAAAAAGUUAAAAGAAAGACAAUAUUUUAUUUUUAUUUUUAUUUUUAGCCGUGAAUUAAUAAAAAGAAAAUACUAGAAACCGUUGCAUCUAAAUCAAAUGGAUAAUUAAAUAAAUUACUUAAUCUGGCUUUAAUCAACAACACUAAGCAUGGAAAUUACUUUGAAAUAUUUUACGACAUUUUCACUCACUCGACUCACUCGUACCUCUAUUUUCCUUCGCUUGGAGUGCCUAUGUCAUCAAGUCGUCAAUGGAAGGGAGUUGGACAAAACAAAAUUAAAAGGGGCAAAAUGUAAAUGAAAAUAUUUUACGUUUGUUGGGCUAUACGACGACGUUCCAGCUUAAAGCGUCGUGUGGGACGCACGCGUAGUACGUCGUCGUCUGAUAUCCGAGUUUAUAUGCGGUUCUUUUCUUAUUUAUAGUCUCGUUGUCGUCACUUUGAGCAGUAUUAUUCUAGGCGUAAGUUAAAAACUGUAAAUAAAUAAAUAAAAUUUCCUUUUCUUUUGACAUUUGGAAAUAUUUCCUGAAAAUUAAAAAAAACAAUAUCCAUAUUUUAAAACAUAAUUGCCCCUCUUAUCCGUAUAUUUUUUUUGAAAAAUUCUGAUAGGAAUUUACAAACAAAUUUGAUUAAUAAGUGGACGCAUCCAUCUUACGUCAGGAAUUACUUGCAACACGAACAAACUUUCUAUUGAUGCCUCACAACUGCCUGGUAAACUAGUAAAUUCUCCAUCUCUUUUAUUUUUUAUUUUUAUUUUUUCUCUCUUUUAAGUUGUAUAAACUUAUGAGCCUUUAUAUCUAAUGCUAUAAGAUUUCACCGCUCAUGCGUCUAUACAAGACAAGUUUAUGAGCAUUGAGCAGUGAGAAUGAAGCGCUUGGGAGGAAACAACGAUCGAUGUAAGUUGUGUCCUUUGGCAUCGCAAUGUAUUCGUAUGACAUCUCAACUGGGUAUGUGUGUUUGUAGGAUUUCACUGUUUUAAAGCAUCCACAAGCUAUAUUUUUAGAUAUCGCCGUCCAAUUACAACUUGACUUUGUAAUUUGCUUCGCUUUACAUCCAUGGCAAGGUAUUAUUUCUAACACGUCUGUUGGGCAAACUCAUACACACUUAAUACACCCUAUACGUGUAUCAUAUAUUGUUUGGGAUAUUAAGUUCUAACCAACAGGCAACCAGGUAGAGAGAAGGUUUCGUUACCUGGUUGCAUAUAUCAACACGACCAGCAUGACUCAAGCAGACUAGGAACUGGUCGCAUGAUCUUUACAAGCUAAGUCAAGAAAUUCCAUUCAAAGAUCUAUCUGCAACGUCCAAGCGUGUUUAAAACACAAUCAGGCGUUAUAACGGUUGAACAAUAACUAUGCAAACGGACAUAUUAAUUUACACAUUUAAAUGGUGUAUUCAAUACAUUCAAUUAGGUAACGACCACACGUUGAGGAGUAACCAACACCUGCGGUCGUCUAUAAAAGCAAAAAAAGAUAUAGAAAAAAGGGUAUUUUUUAAAAAAUAUAUACAAAAGAAUACAAGUGAUAUCAUUCUUCCCAAUACAGAAAUCACUUAUUUGAGUGUCGGAGGGAAACGCCGGGAAAAUCCAACACCCCUAACAGUCAUUCUUUCUGUUACAAGUUAUAAGAAACAUAAGGAUAUUUCAAUAUACAUAAUAUCAACAAGAAAGCACCAUCAGGUUAGAAUAAAUUUAACCGUUGACAAAGUAAUCUGGUCAUCAUUAUCCGCUCAACCAGAUUUCAGCAUCAACAUAUAUAUAUCUUUACUAAAUCCACUCACUACCCAACAUAGUAAACGGUAAACAAACAAUUAAUUAAAUUGGUAAAUAAAGGUUAAUUCCCAUCACACAGAACUGGGAAUAGCUCAACAACCAAUCACUGGUAAAACCAUGCCACUAUGUCACAUAAAUCUAUCUUAAAAGCGUACAAUAGAUAAUUCAACUUGUUAACGGAUAUUUUCUCUUUAUUAGUCCUUAGCAAUGCCACAAUUGUUUUCGAGUUAUCAGUUUCACAUUUCUCCACAUUCUGCGAUUGUGCAUACCAGUUUAGGCCAGUUGUUGGGUCCGGUGACCACAUUCUCGAUCUUCCCAACAACCAAAAGACCAUCUCCGAGCACCCUCUACAUUAAAGUUAUAUUUACCCAAAAAAAAAAAGCAUUUUAGAGGGACUAUUUCAUCAGUAAGGACUCAAAAAGCCAUUGAAAUAAACGAAAAAGGAAAAAAAUGGAUUGCCCCAGGCAGCAAAAUGGUAUUCUUAUAAACAGGACUAUGAAUUAGAUCGUCACCCCUAAAGUUAGAGCUGAACAACCAGAACGAAUAUAGACAGUCAAGUAACAGCACAGACAUCCACGCAUCCGUAUAAAAGAUUGAAAGAGCCUAAAUAUAUUGAUAUACCAAUGACUAUAUUUACUUGAUAACUACAAUUCAAGCUGAACCAACAGAAGAAUACAUAAGCAUUUGGUAAAGAAACUCAGUUCUUCCAGUGACAUUCGAUGAUGUUUAGAUCUUUAUAAUUUAGAUUUAAUAAUUCUUGGCGAGCAACAAAAUCAUCAAUUUAUACCAGAAAAUAUUGUGCAAUUCUGGCUCAUGGAAAAUAUACAAUUGCGCCAAAAACAAUUAAAUGUGACGUACUAGAUACACUGAUGAUGAGGACAACAAAACAUUGGAGCACUUACCCCAAAUACAACGUGCUUAUUGUCAAGCCAGUCACAUUUUGCACAAGUGAUAAAGAAUUGCAAUGAAAACAAGUGCAAGAAUGAAAACUUUAUGAUAUCUACAAGAUAAUAGAUAAGUUGAAAAAGAUACUCAAAACAUAAAUUCUAGUCAUACUGUUCAAUGUUCAGGUUAUAAAACAAACAACAAUUGACAACUACAUUUGCAGUUUAAACUUUUUUUGGUAAAAGGUAGCUGUCAAGUAGAAGCUACUUUGCUUCCGCAGAAAUUAAAUUAUUUUUAUGUCAACAGUAGAGGAUUAAAAUUAGAGUAACUUUAGAAGAAAGCUAAAAGUGUUCCAAAACACUAGCAGCUACCCUACAAUUAAAAUUAGAGUAACUUUAUGUGCCCUGGUGGCUGGAAAGUGCUGGUUGAAUACUACGACAGUCUGGCUCCAGCUGACAAUGGCAGAGUCCCCGUUCCAGCUUAGAUGAAAUUCCUGUAUGAUAAUGUAUUUGUCAUUUGAUUGGGAGAAACCUUACAACCGAUUUAUCUCCACUGUCAACUGUCACAUCCAGAUUGUGAAAAAAAUUCUGUGUCCAGAUUUCUUAAUAAAACCAAGCUGAGGCACUGGUACAGAGACACAAGAUUUGUCUCUUUCUGUAAUUAAAGUGCCACUCUUGUGGCAUCUUACGUUACACUGGCAUUCUCAUGUCCUCCAUGAGAUUGCGUUGUACCAUAUUUGUGGUUUGUGUUCCAAUGGAAAACAGAGGUCCUGGGUUGUCGCUUUUUAGUUUUAGAAUAUGGUCCAUUUGAUACUUGUGGAAUUUCAUUUUCUUAAAAACUUCAUGUGGGCUUUCAAUUCUUAAAGUCCAUAGGCAUCAUCGGUUAACAAUUAUUAUUACGUCUUCAUUGUAAGUGCUCUUGACCAUCUGUUUUCGCAUGAAGGAAAUAACAAAAAAAGCCAAACUAAUGGCACUGUACUACAGCGAAAACAGAUGGGGUGGUGAGUUCUCAAUUUAUCAAGUUCAUUGCUAACGGAAAGUAGAACUGUUUUCAAUUUUAUGUUCUGUUUUCUCAAUUUUUCUUUCUUUCUUUCUUCUCACAUACAAGAUACAAGCGUACAUAAAUAUAUGUUACACGUUCGAUAAAAUUACACGUUUAACGCCCUAAGUAUCCCCGGUGGGUGCAUGCAAAUACGCAAUUAUGUUGGUUCUUUGGUUUCCUUAAUGACUAUUUGAUGAGCUUUCAAUUCAUCUGCAAGGGUCAAAUGUCUUGUACCCAGGACUAGAAAUUAAAAAGAGACACAAGUCCACUCUUCCAUUCUCAGGGAAAAAAAAUGGGGAUGUUUUAUGAACUAUGGUGCUUUUUAUUUCAAGCACAUGUGCUAUAAAUAAAAACUAAUCAGCUGCAAAAUCUCAAUAUGACAUAUGUACGGGAAAAAUUUAAGAAUUGCUGAUAAAAGAAUUUAAAGAACAAUCUAUAACUAGAAGCCUACUUCUUCCACUUGAGAUAGCUGAAAAACGGUUUCUCUGGCCAAGAAGAAGCCGCGAAACCAAUACAUGCGCUCCAUUGGCCCCAGCUCAGCCUCUCUGUGUCUGCAAACUUCUUCAGAAAUUCCACCAUCACCACUUGAAGAACAAUGGUUGUCCCGAUAAUCCCCAGAAACAGCCUGUUCUUAUGUAUCCCCUCAAAGACAUUCUUCUUUUCAAGCUUCCUCGCGUUGAAUUCGUUGAAUACGUGGCAAAGGACGAAUGUGUUGAAGAUCAAGGUGUCCUUAAGUCCAUUACCUUCUCAUUUACACCAAAGAUGGAUUCACCUAUGAACUGUAAUGUCAAGAGGACUGCUAUCUGACAGAAAGCUUGGGCCAGAAGGUUCCUCCACAUGAUGUUGGUGAUAAGUGGCUCCGUUCGACCGACGGGUGGUUUACCUCCUCCAUAUCCAUGUUCAUCUCCAGGACAGCCCAAGAAAGAAUUGCUUUUUCAGUGGGACUGCCUGAAAACUCAACAUCAGUUACUGAAGUUUCCCUAUAUACGCUGCCGGUUGUAUUCAGAGCAACUCCUUCUUGAAUCAAUUUAAUAAUAUUUGGAGAAACUGAUGAAGCAUCAGCUUCUUUUACAAGUUCUUUGCCGAGCCAAAACUUUGUCACCUUCAUCCGAUUUUCAGUGAGUGUGCCUGUUUUAUCUGUACCAAUGGUGGUCGCAGAACCCAUUGUUUCAGAGGCAGAGAGCUUCCUCACCAUAGCUUGAUCAGCCAUCAUUCUCUUCAUGGAAUAAGCAAGAGUAACCGUAACAGCCAAAGGGAGACCUUCUGGUAUCGCAACCACAAUAAUAGUAACUGUAGCAGCUACAAUCCCCACAACAACAUUCACUAUAUCGUCAACCUUUGUCUUGCUUCCAUUAUACUCCUGGUUUCCAUUCUCGUCUGUUGUAUUCCCUGUGAAGUAGCGAAGCAGCAAGACGACAAGAACCAAGAAAGCAACUGCCAAUCCAAUCUUACCUGUUGAUGAAGUUAGCUCGUUGAGCCGGGCUUGUAAGGGCGUCUGCUCACUGUUGCGCGGCUUAUUUGGCUCAUCCGUUGGCCCCAGGUUGUGUUCAUGCCAACGGACGUGGCAAGCAUGCGAGCAUAACCAUCAGCCACCUUUGUGCCAGAAAACAAGAAUAGAUUCUGGCUGCUGUUAACCUCCAGAUGAUCACUCUCCCCUGUCAUGCUUGAUUCGUCUACUUGUAACGAAUGGCCAUCUAAGAACAAUCCAUCAGCAGGUACUUGAUCUCCAAUCUUUAAACAUAUGACAUCUCCAACGACAAUUUCAAAGAUAGAUAUUUGUUGUCGGCGACCAUUUCUAAUGACAUCAAUUUGUAUAUUGUUGCUGACUUUUGAUAACUUGUCAAACUGUAGAGUCUGUGUAAAGUUGCUUCCAGCUGAAAUGGCAAUGACCAAAAAGAACAAGUAUGCUUCCACCGUCAUGCCAUCCCUCUUUCAACCCAUGCUCCUUAAUGCCGAAGGCAAGAGAAAGCACAGCACAGCCUAAAAGAAUCCAAAUGGUAAGAUCUUUAAGAGCGUCCACAACAAAGUAGAACAAGCUCUUGGAUGGAGGUUUCUUGUACGUGUUUUGAUGAAGAGUAGGAAUCCAUAUUAUACUAGGAUUAGUUUCCUUAUUAACUAAAGUUUAAGACUUUUAAUUUCCUUUCUAAUUUAGAAUUUUGUUUUUACUUCAUAAAUUAGGAUAAUUACUACUACUAUAAAUAGCUCCCUCUUGUAGCCUUUGAAGGCAGAAUUUUGAGUUCAAUAAUAUUUCAAUUUUCAAAUCUCUUUGUGAGUAUUUGAAUAGUUAAUUCUCGGUAUUCUGCGGAAUCAACGAGUCUUAACCCCUAAAUUCGCGGUAUUCUUUUGAAUCAACGUGAAUUUAGUUGUUCUUUUAUUCCAGUAUUCUCUAGAAUCAACAGAAUAUUUUGAACAUUAAACGUCCGCUGCAUCAGCUUGGUAUCAGAGCUAAAAGUCUAGUUCUAAAUUAUCCUUAAUACCUAUAAAAAAAACUGAAAACUGAAAACAGAAACGACAGUUGCGUCAGCCACCAUCCACGGCUGCCGGCGUUGAUUUUCCGUCGCCUUUUGGAUGAUCAGCCAUCACCAUCCGAGUCAGAGGACGCCGGCCAUCAAGGACCAGCCUUGCACGACGCCAUUCUACCCCUGAAAUUGUCGGAAUUUGCCAAAACCCGUGCGACGCCGCCGCUGACCGAUCGCCAAUUUCAACCGCGCGUCGGAAGCACCACUAUCAUCGAUCCACUCCUCGCCAUCAGUUCAACCUUUCUCACCCCUUCCCGCCACCGAUCGACGAACCAAUCGCAGGAAUCUAAGCCAACACCAAAUCGCCGGCUUUAUCUCCAAUUUCUGGCCAAAAAAUCACUUUUUUGGGACAAACCACCACCACCACCAUACUCACCAACCCAAAAUCUUUUAGAUUCGUCCCUCCUUGUCCAUUUAUUUCCAACCACCAUCGUCGGAAACCCCACCUUUUACUUAUUUAUACUUUUGACCUAAUACUUUCUUCUAUUUCAAUAUUACCCUUUAAUUUUAUGAUCUUAUCCAAAAAAACCCAAACAACACCAAAAAAACAUAAGGAAAAAAAGAGAGAAAUAGAAAAGAAAAAAAAUUGAUUCAUGAAACGACAACAUCGCCGCGAAGAUUUUAUCUUGAAAGAAGUAUUAAAUAGGAUGUUGAGGAUUUUAUGUUUGAUUUCUCAAGAUUUAGAGAAACUUCGAGAUUAAAAAUCUUUACACAUAAAGCAGGCAUAUGGAUUUGAUGAAGUUGUUCAUGAUGAUAUUUGUUAUGAGGAAAAUGAGGCAAAUGGUAACUUUGUUUCUCUUGACAAUAUUAUUCCUUCCGAGGAGAAUAUUAAUUGGCCAUUCAUGUCUACAACAAAUCCUCAACACAAAGACAUUGAUUUAGAUCAAUUGCCGAAAUUUGAUGAGUAUCUUGAUAUGGUGGGACGAGAAGAGGUAAUCGUUCAUCUAUUUUUUGAUCUUGUGGAAGAAAAAGAGAUAGUUGUUGAUACAAUCUCUUAUUGUUCUCUUGAUUUGCCAAAAGAAGACAAAAAAAAUUGUGAUAUUUUUCAACAGUUAGUGGAUUAUAGAGAAGAUAAAUCCUAAUGCCUACAGAUUAAAGCUUCCUAGUCAUAUCCGCACCGCAGAUGUAUUUAAUGUCAAGCAUCUUAUUCCUUACAGAGGUGAUCAUGAUGAAGAUGUUGUUGCUGAUAAUAUGAAUUCGAGGGCGAAUUCUCUCCACCUUGGGGGGAAUGAUGAAGAGUAGAAAUUCAUAUUAUACUAUGAUUAAUUUCCUUAUUAACUACAGUUUAAGACUUUUAAUUUUCUUUCUAAUUUAGAAUUUUGUUUCUCUUUCAAUUUAGGAUUUUGUUUUUACUUCAUGAAUUAGGAUAAUAACUAUUACUAUAAAUAGCUCUCUCUUGUAGCCUUUGAAGGCAUAAUUUUGAGUUCAAUAAUAUUUCAAUUUUCAAAUCUCUUUGUGAGUAUUUGAACAGUUAAUUCUCGGUAUUCUGCGGAAUCAAUGAGUCUUAACCCCUAAAUUCGCGGUAUUCUUUUGAAUCAACAUGAAUUUAAUUAUUUUUUUAUUCCGGUAUUCUCUAUAAUCAACGGAAUAUUUUGAACAUUAAACUUCCGCUGCAUCAUGUUUGAACCAAAUGCUUCACGUCUCCAAGCAAUAACUUGAUCACUGCGGCAGAUUCCAGCAUCAAAAUAUGUUUCGAGAGCAGAGGCUACGCCGCGAACCCCACCAAACUUAUGAAGUUCGUCGAGAUCUUUCAUCUUCACAAGCUCAGCAAGACUCGUUUGAUCAAUCUUGAAUGAUUCAUCUGUUGUUGAAGAUUUACAACGGUGUAAGAUGGAGAGCGAGAAACCUUGUUGAUACCCUUCUUGGCUUUAGCAAUUUCGGCUAGUGAGAAAAGUGUUCUGGAGCAAUAGAUUUUAGUGAAAGCUGAGUGCCAUUUUUUGGUGGACACGUUAAGGGUGGCCGGAAAAUUAAGUAAAGACUCUAUGGAAACAGCGUUUGCAUGGAAAAUGGUAGACAUAGACAUGGUAGUAUGAUUGAUGGGAACAAAAUUGAAAAUAUAAGAUCGGAGAAUACUUAGCAAUAGAUAAGCAAAUAACAAAACGCUGGGUCGCGGGAGGUGAAGAGCUUCAAUUGGUUCUUAUUUAUACGUGCAAGGUGGCUAAAUCGGGCUAAGUCGGUUUGUGUGAGAUUCGCUGGGAAUAACGCAUAGAAUAUCUAUCAAACAUUUUUGUAGAAUUUCUAUCAAACAUUUAGCAUUUUUGUGGAAUUUCUUGUUGAAAAUGUGAUUAAAAAAAAGCUCAAAAAUUGUGGUUUCAAAUUGGUGGCUUAAUCACUAAAUUUAUUGAUCAAAUGUGAUCAAGAGUGGUGGGCUUGAUUUUAGGCAAAAUUUUGCCUAUAAAAAGGAAGCUCUCAUUUGAGAGCUUGGCAUUCUAAAAUCCCAGAAAAGCAAUCCAAGUUUUGGUGAGAAAUUGGGAGAGAGAAAUGUUCUUAAGCAUGUAGUUAUAUUAAAGGAGUAUUUGACUUCUUAAUAUGGGUAUUACAUGUUUAUUUUGUUAAAGAAUAUUUCUCGAGAUCAUGUAUUUGGGGGAGCAUUUGACUCUUUAAUAUGGGUAUUACGAGUUUAUUUUGUUAAGGAAUAUUUCUCGGGAUCAUGUAUUUGGGGGCUUGGGUGAGAGAAAAUUAUUUUUAAGAGUGUAGUUGUAAUAAUUUUUCACAUAAUGAAUAUUUUUCUCUGGUUGUCUUUGACAACAACUGUGGUUUUUCUCCGUAUUUAGAGUUUUUCACGUAAAUUUUGUGUUGUGUGAUUGAUGUAUUCUCAAUUUAAUUUUUCUAUUAAUUUAUUACUUGACAAAUUACUUGAAAUGGUAUUUUCCAAAUAGUUUGUGGUGAAGAUCAAAGACUGAUCUAUAAAGCAAAUAUGUCAGCAACUAGUGUUUUUCAAACUUGGAGUUUGAUGUUGUUGAAAAAUUAAUGGGAGAAUGAUUUUUUGUUGGCUUGUGGAGAAUUCAAGUAAAAUGUGUAUCCAAUAUAGUAUGCACAAGGAUUUGAAAGUGUAACAAUUUGGCAUCUCAAGGAAAUUGUCAAGAAAGUGGAGCGAGUUCGGCAAAUUGCUCCAGAAUCAGUAAAGGAGAUAUUGAUAUUCUCGCAAAUGGUGAGUUUCCUUUUAUAAGAGACUGGGUUAGUUCUUCUAGCAUGUAGAUCUCCAAGUUGCCAUGAAAGAGAACAUAUUAUUAUCAGCGGGGUCCAUAAGUUUGCACGCGGGCAUUGGCUUGGUAUAAAUGCAAGGUGUGUGGUGGAAAAAUUAUGUCAUGUCUGAAGAAUUCUUAGGGAAAUCAAGCAUGAUAAUUACACCAUAAUUUUCAACGGAUAUGUUCGACAUGUGUCGAAAAAAAUCUUAAAAUGAUUGAUUUUAAGUGGUAUACUCUUUAUGGUGGAGUAUGAUAAUUCUCUAUGUUGAGAAUUAUGAUUGUUGGUGAAGACAUUGCUUUGUAGCAGUGGCUAUGAGUUUUUUUUUUUAAUCAUGGUGGAGAUUGUUGAAAAUGUGAUUAAAAAAAAGGUAAAAAAUUAUCACUUCAAAUAUGGUGGGUUAAUCACCAAAUUUAUUGACCAAAUUUUGUUGAUCAAAUUUGAUGGCUAAGCUCAAUUUCCUAACAUUUCUAUCAAACAUUUAGCAUUUUUGUAGAAUUUCUCCUAUUAGUUGAGCAAGCAAGUUUGUGAGCUCCGUGGGUUCCACUAUACCGAACUUUCUAUCAAACAUGAGUCAUCUAGGACUCACAACAUGUGGACCUCAGUUUUUGUCAUCCUUUUGUCCGCGAGAUUGAGAGUCUUGAGUGGUAAUAUUAAUUUUCUACAAGAACAAAUUUAAAAUAAAUAAAAUUUUAUUAUUGCUACGUGAACUUUCUUCUAUAUUUUUUUUUUCUUAUUCAAUGAAAACCAAAAAUAAAGAAUUGAGAUCCUUUUUAACACUUAUUUGGUAAAUUUAGAUUGAGAAUUAUGAUGAUACUCCUACAACUUGAUGUAAUUUCUAAUAUUUUCAAAUUCAAUAUACUCUGUUUGAAGAAAUAUUAAAUAAUAAUAACCGAAAAUAAUAUCAAUAUUCGAUCUUAAUCUUGGUAAUGCCUAAGUGGUGAAAACAGCUCUAUACGAUUUAAUAAUUAUGCACAUGAUCUCAAUUCCAAUGUUUAUAAAACAAUAUAAUAUCUGAUUUGUGUUUAUGUGUACGUAUUAGUUUUAUUUUCUUUGUUGGAUGAAACGAAACCUUUGCACUUUUUUAACCCAGCUAAAAAUGUGAUAAAUGUGGAACACUUAUAGUUGGGUCUUAUAUUAUUACUCUUGUUGAUUUAAUUUAUAUCUAAAUUUACUUUUGUCUUAAGUGACAUGACAUUAUGAUGAAAUAUAAUAAUUAGUAAUCUUAUAAUUUACAGAAACUUACCGUGGAUGAACGAUACCUUAAUUAGGUAUCGAAAAAAAGUUGAUAUACUAGUUUUAUUAUAUUAUACUAAUUAUAUUAGUGAAAAAAGUCGAAAAAAGAAAAAUUAACUCAUCUUAUAAAUAAAAUAAAUAAAUAAGAAUUUUAGACUAAAAUAAAUAUCCAUAUUCGAUCUUAAUAUUGGUAAUGUAUAAAAAGUAAAAACCGUUCUAUAUGACUUAAUAAUUCUGCACUUCAUAAAUAAAUUUUCAUUUUGAUUUUUUCCAUUCUUCAUAAAUAAAUUUUCACUGCAUCACCGCAGCCAUAUAACAUAUUCUAACACUGGACCAAAAUGCCACCAGAAUACCAGAUUCAUGAGUUUCAAAUGAUGCCGGUUUAUCUAAUUAUAUUGGUGUCUCUCACGUUUAAAGAAGCAUUAUGAUUACGUUCAUGAAUUAUAGAUGUUGACGCUAAAAUUUGGUCGAGUCAAUUAGCGGCUUGAUACCAAAUCUCUAAGCCAGCAUUAAAUUUAUGUGUUGGGGAAGAUCGCCAAGGAUGUCCUGGACCAUUAGCAAAUAAUUAACGAACACCUAAAAUUACAAAAACACGGGAAGAGGCCCCGAAAUUUUUUUCAGCAUUAACCUUUUGAUGCUCAAGUUAAUAUAUGAGUCUACAAGAAAGAUGUUUGAGGGAAAUACUCCGACGAGACCAGACGUGAUGAGUAGAUGUUUGGUGGCAGAAGUCUGCGAGCAGGUAUGUCCUGUAAGAGCCAGGUAGCAGGGGAACAGGGGCAGGAAUAUCCUGCUCAUCCACGAGCACGUCAUCUGCGAGGCCAAUUUCCUGUAAGAGGCAUAAAGCCAUUCCUACUGUAUUCUCGCUGAGGGUUGAUUCGAGGAGACCCGGUCAACGACAGUUGGCGAGGCAUACUCUCCAGCCCGAGAAUCUAGGCACGAAGGCCAUGCAACCACCCACGACUACGGAAAUGGGGAAUCCACGUUCGAGAGGUGGGAGAAUAACGGGCGUAGACUGCGGAAAACUGGGAUUCAGAGGAAGCCUAUAAAAAGGUAGCCAACGAAGGUAAAAGGGUUAGCAAUUUUGAGAUUAGAAGAGAGAUAAAAGAAAUUCUAAAGAAGAGAAAACUACCCAAAAGCCAUAAGAUCUGUGGCAAGUGUUCCCCGAACCUUCAUAUCUGACUUGAGCGUCGGAGGGUUUGCGCCGGGAAAACAACCGGCGUACUCUGACAUGUCUGUGUGCGCAUGAACCUCUGGAGAAGAAGCUUUACGAGGAGAGAUCCUGGUCGUGGUGAAGUUGAUCGAGCAGAGACUCUGGUCGUAGAACGAGGACAACCAGAAUCUCGCAUCAACAUUUUGGCGCCGUCUGUGGGGAGCUGAUCAAAAAGCUUCUGUUGAUAGCAAGAAAAGGAGUGAAGCAAGUGAAAAGCAAUGGAGACAGGAGGAAGUAGUGCACAAGGGGGUGAUAUGAGGCUUAACGAUUUUGUGACUCUGAGGGAGAUAGCCAGUGAAGCACGGGAAAAAGCCAUGUUCGACCGGAUGGAACGAAUGGAAAAGCAGAUGGAGACCCUGACAACCAUCCUGCAUGAGUUGCGGAGUGAACGAAGGGUAACCCAGAAGAAAAGGAUGAGAGUUGGGGGAGUGGCUCCAGGUCCCGAUAGUACGAGGAGAAGUCAAACCACCGGGAGAUUUGGUGGUGAGAGAGGUAACAUACCUCUGCGGGGAGAAUUCCGUAGAGAGGAAGAGCAAUCCCCGGCAAGACAGAUUUUUGACGAGGACGACGGGGUGGCAAAUGCAGAGGAAACAGAGUUGAGGCAACACUUGCUUGAUGUAGAGCAAGAGCGGGAUCAAGUUGCAGCACGUGACCCUGGUCGCGCAGUGCAGCUGGAGGAGGAAGUGCGCAGACUAGCGCAGAUAAUUGACGACAUGCAAGGAAGGAGCAGAGCUCCUGGUUGGAGGAUAAUGCUGGACGGAGAAUCACCGCUCGCAGCAGAGAUCAUGAGGGCAGUUAUUCCGAGAGAUUUCCGCCUCCCAGACCUUAGGUAUUCGGGACGAACGGAUCCGCUGGUGCACAUAGAGCGUUUCAACGACAUAACUGGGGUACAAGGAUUAUCUCAAUCCCAAAGGUGCAGGGUGUUCCCACUAUCCCUUGAGGGACGUGCACGAGAGUGGUACAAGAAACUUCCUCGGGGGAGCAUUAAAACCUUCAAGCAGAUGUGCCAGGAGUUUGCAGAGCAGUUUCGUGGGGCAAUGGCACCAGAAGAUGACAUGAUGGAGCUGAAAAGCAUGAAGCAAGGGGGGCAAGAAACCCUUCGGGAAUUCAUCAAGAGGUUUCAUCGUGCUGUCCUCGAUUUGGGAGCCUUCGACCAUCCUCAGGCACUAAGGGGAUUGAAAGAGGGAGUGAAGAUAGGAAGGCUGUGGUACAACUUGAGAAGCCCAACUAUUCAGACGUAUGCAACCGCAUACGAGCAGGCUAAAAGAGACAUAGAGAUCGAUGAAGAAAAGGCAGCUCGGAUUAAGACAGACCAGCUGGAGGGGCUGGAAAAGAAAGAAAAUAGGGCAUUACCGGGAAAUGGGCCGAUCAGGAGGAGGGACCUCCAGGCCUCAGGUAGUGGAGCAGGAGGUCGGAUAACAGCUCACCAGCCUCAUCAGAGGCCACCACAGUAUCAGCGCAGCAGGGCGCACCCUCCUCGUUCCCCAGCUAGGGAGCCUUGGAGAAGGCAUGAUUUGGCAUAUGGUGGUCUUCAUCAACACUCCCACAGUAGUAGAGGGAGCAGACCAGAAAUGCUGCCAUCGUCUCCAACUCAGAACAGAGCAAAUAGAGAAAGGGCUGUGCACCUGAUUGACCAGAACCAGGAGUAUGGGCGAUACACUUCCUUGAAGAUGUCCCUGGACGAAGUAUACGAGGCCAUAAAGGACCGAGGAUUGCUGUACCUCCCUGCCCCAAUAACAAAGCUACCCGGCAGGAGGGAUAGGGGACGCCAUUGUAAGUUCCAUGGCACUCAUGGCCAUACCACCGCAGAAUGCAAAGAUCUCAAGACCCAGGUUGAAGAUUUGGUGAGAAAUCGGUACCUGGACGAGUUUGUAGAUGGGAUUUUCCCGAUGGUGGCCUCGACAUGUGAAGGGGAGCAGAGUGGCAGAAAUUUGAGGCACGAGCAGCCUACAGUAAGGGUGAUUGCUGGGGGCCCGACAUUGGCUGGAGAUUCCAACAGAUCUAGGAAGAACUAUGCUAGAUACGCCAUGACUAGUAAAGAGGUAUUCUUCAACACCCCAGCAGCCAAACGAGCAAGGGUCAGGCAAGUGCCAAUCAUGUGGACGGAUGAAGAUGAGGAAUGAAUUCUAUACCCCCACGAGGAUGCUUUAGUCAUCAAGGCUACUGUCGCUAGCAAGAAGUGUGACCGGAUACUGGUUGAUACAGGGAGUUCAGUUGAUGUGUUAUUUAAGUCAACCUUGGAGGAGAUGAGAAUAGCAGACUGCAAGUUGGAAUACACCAAUACCUCCUUGAAGGGGUUUGGAGGAGGAAAGCUGGUCCCUCUGGGCGUGGUCGAGCUGUCUAUCACGAUUGGGAGCUCCCCGACAGAAAGGACAAUGAUACUGGACUUUGUGGUAGUGGAUGAGGAAGGUCCUUAUCAGAUGAUCCUAGGUCGGCCAUUUCUGAGGAUGAGCAAAGCGGUGCUGUCCAACCAUUAUCUGGCUCUCAAGUACCGGGUGAAUGGGAUAGUUGGAGUGGUACGAGGAGACCAGAGAAUCGCACGAAGCUGUUACUCCUCGGCAGCAAGGGAAGCAAUGCAGAUAACAUACCUUGAUACCCGAGCGGAAGCCGGGAAUGGCAGCUAGUUGGACCCGGAGUUUACAAGUUGGUUCGCACGGAGGGCUACGAGGUGAAACGCCCCUGAAGCGCGGCACACCUCAGGAAAUAUUUCUAGUAAGACUUAUUCAUGUUUUAAAGUUUUUUUCUGUUCGUGUCCGUUGUUUUCUAUUUUUGAUUUCUUAUUUCAAAGCAACCUCAUGUAAGCCGAACUCAAUAAUAAAUGAAUCAAUGAGGAAUUUCAUUCGCUUGAAACUGUGAAAAUUUCCUAAGGCAUGCAAAGGCUCAGUAAGUCUCAAAGCCUGUUUUAUGGCGAGACAGAAGCCAAGCGUGCCAGGAUCUGCUCGACCACGAGAAGGCGAGCAGAAUCCCAAUCCUUGAAGAAUUGAAGGCAUGCAAAGGUUCAGCAAGUCUCAAAGCCUGUUUUAUGGCGAGACAGAAGCCAAGCGUGCCAGGAUCUGCUCGACCAUGAGAAGGCGAGCAGAAUCCCAAUCCUUGAAGAAUUGAAGGCAUGCAAAGGCUCAGCAAGUCUCAAAGCCUGUUUUAUGGCGAGACAGAAGCCAAGCGUGCCAGGAUAUGCUCGACCACGAGAAGGCGAGCAGACUCCAAAGCAUUCAAGAAAUUAUCAAAGGCAUGCAAAGGCUCACCAAGUCUCAAAGCCUGUUUUAUGGCGAGACAGAAGCCAAGCGUGCCAGGAUAUGCUCGACCACGAGAAGGCGAGCAGACUCCAAAGCAUUCAAGAAAUUAUCAAAGGCAUGCAAAGGCUCACCAAGUCUCAAAGCCUGUUUUAUGGCGAAACAGAAGCCAAGCGUGCCAGGAUCUGCUCGACCACGAGAAGGCGAGCAGAAUCCCAAUCCUUGAGGAAUUGAAGGCAUGCAAAGGCUCAGCAAGUCUCAAAGCCUGUUUUAUGGCGAGACAGAAGCCAAGCGUGCCAGGAUAUGCUCGACCACGAGAAGGCGAGCAGACUCCAAAGCAUUCAAGAAAUUAUCAAAGGCAUGCAAAGGCUCACCAAGUCUCAAAGCCUGUUUUAUGGCGAGACAGAAGCCAAGCGUGCCAGGAUCUGCUCGACCACGAGAAGGCGAGCAGAAUCCCAAUCCUUGAAGAAUUGAAGGCAUGCAAAGGCUCGACAAAGUCUCAAAGCCUGUUUAUGGCGAGACCAGAAGCCAAGCGUGCCAGGAUCUGCUCGGCCACGAGAAGGCGAGCAGAAUCCCAAGCUUUGAAGAAACUACCUAAGGCAUGCAAAGGCUCGACAAAGUCUCAAAGCCUGUUUAUGGCGAGACCAGAAGCCAAGCGUGCCAGGAUCUGCUCGGCCACGAGAAGGCAAGCAGAAUCCCAAGCUUUGAAGAAAUUACCUAAGGCAUGCAAAGGCUCGACAAAGUCUCAAAGCCUGUUUAUGGCGAGACCAGAAGCCAAGCGUGCCAGGAUCUGCUCGGCCACGAGAAGGCGAGCAGAAUCCCAAGCUUUGAAGAAAUUAUCCAAGACAGGCAAAAGCUCGUCAAACUUCAAGGCCUCCUCUGUGACGAGGACAGAAGCCAAACAGAUAAAUAAAUUAAAAUUCCAAUGCGAGGAAGCAAAUAAGAACAAUCUUAUUAAGCUCUUAAAAGUUUACAAAGCUGUUAUAUAGAAUAUUCAAAAAGCAAUUACAGCACAAGAUAAGUUCAAGAAGAUGGCGGAUCAGUAUGCCGAGCAGUAUCGGUUGGCUGGACCUCCUCAGGUGCAGGGGGGUAUCACCAGUUGCGUCCGGGGGGGUGCUCGCCUCGCCAACGUCAGCAGGGUCUACAUGAGGAGGAGAGUUUUCCUCCUCGAUCACGAUUGCGUCUACCCCUUCGGCAUCCGCCUUUGCAGCCUCCUCGUCCAUAUGUUGGGAGACACCAGCUGCAAGGUCGUCCAUCUUUAGAUCAGGAUGCUGCUUCCCGAGGACGGCCAUGAUGCAACGAUAGGAAUGCCGAAGUCCCUGGUCGUACCGGUUGUCGGCCUCCUUCUCCAAGUUCUCGACCUGAGCUCGAUGGGAAUCGCGGAGAGAUUCGAGCUGAGCCUCAUACAUUGCCUUCUGCCUUUGAAGAUCCUCCCCGACCUUGGCCAGCUCUUCCUCGAGAGUAAUAGCCUUGGCUUGAGCAAGAGAUUCUCGCUCAAUCAACUUCAGAUUCUCGAGGUUUAAGUCCCCUGCUUUCUUCUCAGCAAUGUCAGCUCUGGUCGUCGCCGACUGAAUGUCCUUCUUCAUCUUCCUGUCAUAACGGCCAACCUUGGCCUUAUAGUAGGUGGUCAUGCAGCUGAGAUGGAAAGCACUAUACUGCAUGGCUCCUACCAGCUCGCCCAGGGUGCAGCCAUCAAAGUCCUCCAGGUCCUUCUUGCUCACGAGUUUAGAUAACUCAUUGAGAUAGGGGACCAAGUGUUCGGCUCGGCUAUCAGGAAAGCGAGAUCGAGGCCCGACAGGAGGAGAAGAGGAAACAUGAUAUGUGGCUGCUCCACUAGUUUCGCCGACUUUGGCAGGAGCAGGAGGUAAAGUCUUUAAGGGAGAGACUUGCUGCACGAUGUUGGCCCGCUUUGCCGUAGGGGCGUCCUUGUUCUGGUCCCUCUUCGUGUUUUGAGGUCGAGAACGUUUCCUGUUCAGAGCCCCAAUCACAGCAUCCUCCAUCUUAUGACCAGGGAGUAUCAAGCGAGACUCGAGCAAGUUGUAUAUAGUUAUCAGCUCCUGGCUCGAGCAGGAAUUGGCUAGCACAGCCUCGACCCAUUUGCGCUGGUCAGGUUUGAGCGAGAAAUGAACACCCCAAGAAACUACAACACAAACAGACACUUGGUUAGAGACAAACCAACAAAUCGAGAACAAUUACGGAUACAAGACAUCUAAAGCGAGCAGGCAACCUGGGACCGUGAAACGAGGUGGGACGCGAUAAUCCUUCCCGUCUAUUUGUGCAACUUGACCCCAAGGACCCCCAGCAAAAAAGAAUUUCCUCUUCCAAUUCCCACCACCACCAGUAGGGAGGUCGGUUAUGGGUUUCCUGGUCUUGGUACUAGAUUGAAAGUAGUACCAGCCGGCAUCUUUGGGGCUGCUCUUUAGCUGGUACAGGUGCUUCACCUCAUCAAUUGUGGGCUCGCUUUGGCAACAUCUGUCCCACAAUAUGAACAGACCAGAAAGUACUCUCCAACCGUUUGGGUUCAGCUGACCAGGAGAUAGAUUCAGCCCGUUAAGUAUCCGGGCAAAGUAAGGUUGCACGGGACACCUCAGCCCAUACUUAAAGCUAUCCAGAUACAGGGUAACGUAUCCCCUAGGAGGCCGGCUAGGAGUAUCCUUCUUUCCUGGGACCUUGAGAGAGAUUUCACCAGGAAUAUUAUACCUAAGCCGGAGGUCAUUGAGCUCAUCAAACGUGGUCAUACAUGUCAUGUAAUCAAUAGCGUAAUCCCGCGAUAGGGCUCUACCUCCUAUUGUACUCCGCCCUUCUGGUCGCGACACUCCUGAUGGGGACACCUCGCCAGAAUCAUCUCCUCGGCCCUCACUCAGGGUGUUUUCUGAGCCAGAAGACCCCUCUUCAUCAUUAUUUCUGCUCGAAGAGGUUGUUUGGGGAGACAUCCUCCUAGCGCUAGUGCCGACACCAGAUUUAAUGGGCUCUAAGGGGAUCCCGGGGUCAAAAGCAGGAUCAGUGAGCAGACUAGGCAGGAAGUCCAACUCAUCGUCGUCAACCUCAAUGACCUUCUCUUUACCUCUCGACAUUCCCUAAACUCUAACCACAACACCACCACCAACUACUACCCGAACAAAAGAGAAGAGAAAUUAUCUACAACUAUCCGAGACCAAGGAGAUAGAAGAAAUACCUGAAGUAAUGGUUCAGUCGGUGAAAGACAGAGAUGGAGGCCUGUAUGCCGGAACUUCUUUGCUGGAGAGACAGAGACGGAGACGGAGGGAAUGAUGAAUUUGCUGUUUGAAAGGAUUUAGGUUUCCUAAUGGGGACGGACUCUUGGGUUGCCAGCAUUUAACGGCACCAAAUCCCAAGGGCCUCGUAACCGUUGGUUUGAAAUUCGAAUAGAGGGGCAGAUUUCUGCCAUAUCACCUCGUCCGCAAUUAAAUGCGAUAUGACUCUUGGCAGCCUUUUCCAAUCCCACGCGAGCAAGUACUGUCAAGUUUCUACUGCUGGUCCACUACAUUAUCCAACACCAGAAACUGGGGGACCGGUGUUUGAGGGAAAUACUCCGACGAGACCAGACGUGAUGAGCAGAUGUUUGGUGGCAGAAGUUUGCGAGCAGGUAUGUCCUGUAAGAGCCAGGUAGCAGGGGAACAAGGGCAGGAAUAUCCUGCUCAUCCACGAGCACGUCAUCUGCGAGGCCAAUUUCCUGUAAGAGGCAUAAAGCCAUUCCUGCUGUAUUCUCACUGAGGGUUGAUUCGAGGAGACCCGGUCAACGACAGUUGGCGAGGCAUGCUCUCCAGCCCGAGAAUCUAGGCACGAAGGCCACGCAACCACCCACGACUACGGAAAUGGGGAAUCCACGUUCGAGAGGUGGGAGGAUAACGGGCGUAGACUGCGGAAAGCUGGGAUUCAGAGGAAGCCUAUAAAAAGGUAGCCAACGAAGGUAAAAUGGUUAGCAAUUUUGAGAUUAGAAGAGAGAUAAAAGAAAUUCUAAAGAAGAGAAAACUACCCAAAAGCCAUAAGAUCUGUGGCAAGUGUUCCCCAAACCUUCAUAUCUAACUUGAGCGUCGGAGGGUUUGCGCCGGGAAAACAACCGGCGUACUCUGACCUGUCGGUGUGCGCAGGAACCUCUGGAGAAGAAGCUUUACGAGGAGAGAUCCUGGUCGUGGUGAAGUUGAUCGAGCAGAGACCCUGGUCGUAGAAUGAGGACAACCAGAAUCUCGCAUCAACAAAAGAUACAAAAUAAAUAACUUCUGGUUUCUUAUGAAGAAAUAAUCUCAGGAAAACGUAAUAGAAAAAUAAAAAUUGAAAAGGAAAGUUGAACCUCCCUCUUUAUUAAUUCCCAUAAGAAUUUUUAUAGAGAUUGAAAUUUUACCCCCUAAUCAGUUUGUGAUCGGAGCAUAGGAUUAAGGAAAUGCAUUUUUUGAUUCCCCCUCUCUCCCUACCAUAAAAGACUCAUCUCAAUCAUAUUGAUUAAUUGAUCGUAAGUAAAACUUAACGGAUAAGUUCUGAUGCUCCAAAAUCUUUAAACACUUGAUACAAAUUUAGAAUUAGUCACACUAGAUUGAAUAAAAUAAUUAAAAAUUUGAGAAUGAGUAUUUUGAUGCUAGGGAUAAGUCCGAAGCCUACCUCAUGUUGCUUUCUCCCAUCUUUCUAUAGCCUUUGACAAUUGUGUAUUAUUGGUGUUUAAUGCUUGCAAUCAUCCUAAGAGAUUCUCUAAAAUUGUCGCCAUGAUUCACCUUGCACUAUGUUUUUUCUUUUUGAAUUAUCAAAUUUUUGAGUCACCAUGCCCACUUGGAUCAUGCUUUUGGACUUUGGAUCUUUUUGUGAACACCCUGAUUUAUUGCCCUUUUAUUCCAUUUGUUCUCCUCCACCCCCGGAAGUUAAGGAUGAGACCAAAAACUAAAAGUAAUCCCUUCACUUUCCUUCUUUUUCUCAUUUUUUUUAUCAUCAAGCACCAGUCCCUAGGUUUUAGUAUUGAGACAGAGACGAAUCAAAACUAGACACUACGUGAAGUUUAAAGUGACCUCGAGGCAACGUCAACGAAAUUUUCGAGAUUUCUGAAAUUAACCUUGCCAUGAGCAAACAUGUUUAACAAAUUCCAAGUUUCAUAUCUCACCUCAAGGAGGUUUUGAUCUUAUAACCUUUAUUACUUUUUAAAAAAUUACCUUGCCGCAAGCUAGCAAGUUGCACAAGUAUAAGGUUUUACAGAGGAUAUUUCUAGGUUUUAACCUUUUACUACCAUAGAGAAAUUUUAAGCAAUUCAUUUUGUUCGCCAUACCAUGGGUUCGUAUGAUUUUUUUAAGAUUUUAUGCUUUGCUCGGAGUAGGUUUCGAGACUUUUAACCUUUUAUUAAUUUAAGCAACCUUAGCAGCUCUUAUCAAUUUGAGAUUUUAUAUCAUACCUAAAGUAGGUUUUAAGACUUUUAACUUUUUACUAAAUCAAAUAACUUUUAAGUAAUUCUUGUCAGUUUAAGGUUUUACCUGAGGUAGGUUCCAAGGCGUUUAACUUUUUACAUGCCUUAGAAAAAAUUUCAAUAAAGAAAGAAAAAGAAUGAAUAUAUGAAUUAUUUCUUAUUGCAUCCAUUUUAUUCAAAGUCAUAUAUAGUAUAAUUUAAUCAGAAAAGAUUGAAGCAAAACUGAAACUGUGAUGUAUAUGUUACUGAUUCAUAGAAUGAUUUUUCGGGGGAGCAUGCUGAAUCAAAGAAUUAAUCAAGCAUCUGGAUUCGUGUCCAUGCAUGAUAUACUGUUAUGAUGCUUGACAGUCAAAUAAAUGUACACAGUUAUAAAAGCAAGUAAAUGACUUAUUGUAUAAUAGGAAAAACAAGAAUAUGGACCUAAUAAUGUUGCAUGUGAGAUUUCAUGAAUAAUCAUGCAUGUGAAUCAGCAAAUUCAAGAUAAGUAUAUGAUUUAAUUGAUCAAAUUGAAACAUGAUUAAGAGCUAAGUGAGUUUACCGAUAAUUCAGAGUAUUUUUCGGUAGACUUUUCCGAGAUGUCUCUGGAUAUGAUACUGACAACAACUUGAGGCAACAAAUUUGUUUCAAUUCUUGCAGUCACUUUGUCGGACAGCUCCCGUGUGUGAUUUUGAUUGAGCACUUUUAAAAGUCCUCUCUAAAAGCCUGUUUCCAAAAUAACAAACUCCACUUCUCUGCAUCCAAUUAGUAUUUAAAUCCUCAUUCCAAAUGAUUUAAUCCAUCACAAUUAUGCUGAAAUCGUGGCAUAAUCCAAUUGUAUCUGAGAUCUUAGCAUCUAAACUUGGAACUUAUGCAAAACUUUAACGGCAAGCACAUGAUCAAGAGUUGUCUAUAUGGCAAUAAGUAUGUGGCCACUAGUUUAUGAUAUGAUUUCAUAUAUUCAAUAUAUGUACAUUUUAAAUCUGUGCUCUGUAAUCAAUUUUUCAUGCUCAUGUAAAACAAAUCAUAAAUUGGAGUGGUGAGAAGCACACCGAACUUCUCCAAUCAGUAUGAUGUUAAUCCAUAGAUUUUACUAUAUUCAUGCAUAUAAAUUAAGCAAAUUCAAGCUAAUUAUUCCAUUUGAUCUACUACUCAGGCAUAGAUCAACCGUAAUUUAAUUCACCAUUCAAGAAACCAAAGUGAUUGCAUGAUUUUGAUUGACUAAAUGCACAUAAAACUAAAGUUGCUGAGAUGAAUUUUAUGCACAUAACACUGAAUGCACGCUUGUUUAAUCGGUCAAUCAUGCACAAAUUUACCAAAUUUACAAUUUAAACAAGCAGCUCGUAGCAAGUACACAAUUGAAUCUGAGGAUUAAAGUAAAAUUGAUCAUCAUUAUACUCAUGGAGAAAUAAAUUCAAGUGAUACCGAGGCUAUGAGAUAUAAAAUUGAUCAUUCAGUGCAAUAUAUCACGCAUAUAGAUGACUAAAUUGAAUGUGAUUAUCGAUUUGAAGCUUGCGAAUAUCAAAAUUUUGUUAGCUAUUACAGAUUCAAUUCAAUUCUUCCCUGUGGAUUUGGAAUUAAAAGAGAGCUUGCUCCGAUUUCGUGCAUGAUAAUAUUCUGCCUUCGCUUUGGCUAGCUGAAAAAUUAAUAGAGACAAAAGUUGGCUUUUUGUAUCGUUUCCAAUAGACGGUGCUAAAAUGUUGACACCGAAAUUUGGUCGAGUCAAUUAGCGGCUUGAUACCAAACCUUUGUGCUAGCAUAAAAUUUAUGUGUUGGGAAAGAUCGCUAAAGAUGCCUUGGACCAUUAGUUAAUAACCAACGAACAUAUAAAAUCACAAAUGAAUAGCAAGAGGCGCCGAAAAUUUUUUCGGCACUGAUCCUCCGACACUCAAGUCAGUAUAUGGGUUUACAGGAAAGAUAUAAAAUAAAUAACUUCUGGUUUCUUAUGAAGAAAUAAUCUCUGAAAAAUGUAAUAGAAAAAUAAAAAUUGAGAAGGAGAGUUGAACCUCCCUCUUUAUUAAUUCCCAUAAGGAAUUUUAUCAAGAUUGAAGUUUUACCCCCAAUCUGUUUGUGAUCGGCAGAUGGGAUUAAGGAAACGGUAUUUUUUGGUUCCGCCUCUCUCCCUCCAUAAAAGACUCAUCUUAAUCAUAAAGGAGCCCGCCACACCCCCCCCCCCCCCCCCCCCCCCCCCCCCCCCCCCCCCCCCGGGGAAUUAUUGCCCUUUUUUUUUCCUGUUUGUAUCCUCCACCCCCGGAAGUUAAGGAUGAAGUUAAAAAUCAAAAGAAGUAGCCCCUCCACUUUCCUUCUUUUUUCUCCUUUUUUUUCUCACCAAACAAACAAUAGAACAAAAGUUUUUGUCAACUUUUUUUCUUCUUGAUAGCAGUUCCGUUUUCAUUUCUCAUGCAUUUGCUAUUCGAUGUGUAUUUCAGCAUUGAGAUCUACAAGCACCCCAAAGAAGAAAGGAUAGCCCGAACAUGGAGGACAACUGCCCCUAGUCUACCUUAUGUUGACCAGGCUAUAACUUAUGCUGGAAACUGGCCGAUUGGAGGUGACUUGGAGGUUCUAGAACCAAUCAAGAUGGUCCUGAUCGUUUCCAAUUGUCACCUGCUCAACUUCGUGAAGAAUUCAGCAAGCCAAUGCCGACGCCGUGUUUGCUUUCCAGCGUCGGAAACCUGUGCACAAUAGCCAUGCUCUAUUGAUGACUGAUACUCGUCGCAGGCUUCUUGAUAUGGGUUACCAGAACCCCAUCAUCUUGCUGCACCCGUUAGAAGGCUUUUUUUUUUUUUUGAACUGAUUAAGCAUCAUGUACUGUAUUACACAGAUAUUUACAACUGUUAUGACAGCAGAUCAUUACACUAAUAUUUACAAUCAGAUAUAUAAUUAAGGCUUACAUUAUUACAUUUUUAAUUUUAUGAAGUAUAUGCUUAAUUAGACAAAUAACCCUCACGGAGGAGGGAUGUCUCUACUCCACUCGCAUUUCGUAAGGGGGAAAGACUUUACAAAUAAUCUCCACACAAUUAUAUUUAAUUGAGGGAAGUUGAGUCAAUGGGGACUCGAACCAUUUCCCUCAUCGUCUGCUAUACAAAGGCAGACGAUGUGUUGGUGGAAUAUGCUUGUGGGGAAUGACAAAUGCAGAGAAUUACAACUCUAUAUGUAGGAAAAAUAAUAAUAGUAAUAGACAAACUGUAGAAAAUAAUGUGUACUUCAAGACACGUUACAAAUAUCGAUUUCCUUAAGACAUCAUUUGCCCCCACCAAUUGAGUGAUGCAUAUGGAUUAAGCAAAUAUACUUCUAGAAUACAAUCAAGCACUUAUUUGUUUGCUUGCAUUGUGCAUCAACGAAAGCAAACCAGAAUACUCUUGAAUGUUGCAAGUCUGCCAAGAAAUAAUAUAUUGUUCCUGCAGAAAACAAUAUAUUGGAUUUUUUAAUGCAGAAAAAUAAGAGUUUUAUGUUGAAAUUCGUUCUAGAAAAGAGGGCUAAGAAAAGAGCGGUGUGAGAUCAUUAUUUUUCAUCUCUAAAUGACUUAAACAUUACCUCUAUUAAUAGACAUACUUGUGCCCCUUCAUUUAGGUUGUCAUCUUUUAUGAUACACCUUCAUUCAUGGUCAUUGGAUUAAGAUUUAAUUUUAAUAAAUAGUCCAAAUUGAGCCAUCACAAUUUCAAAUGAAAUGUCAUCAUAAAAUGAUACAUUUCCAAGUGAAAUGUCACCAUGAAAAAUUAUAUUCUUAAGUGAAAAAAUAUUUUUUCUAUAAGGCACAAUUAAUUAGAUAUAUCUUUACAAUAAAACACUAUUUAUUUAGACAUGUCUUUACAAUAAGACACCAUUUAUUUUGAAAUUUUUUUCCUAGCAUGAUGUUCCCCUUAGUUGGCGAAUGAAGCAACAUGAAAGGGUAUUAAGAUUAGCAUGUUAACCCUUCUCCGUACAUGGAUCUGUUUUGAUUAGCAUAAACAUCUGUAUUGAAUUUUUAUGCGGUACAUGGUAUAUACUCUAGAGCCUAGAGGUUAGCAUCUUUUUCUGUCUUUGUAAAACUAAAAUCAUAUGGUAGCUUCAGUUCUUGAUACUGAUUGAAUACCUGACUCUGACUCUGACUCAAGGGAUCUGCUGAAAAUAUUGUAAUAAUGCGAACUUAAAAAAAAAGGAAAUGAAUAUUAAUUUUCUGUCUUAUUAUAAAUGUGUAGGUGCUUGAGGAUGGUGUUCUUGAUCCAGAGACCACUGUGGUUUCUAUAUUUCCCUCGCCCAUGCACUAUGCAGGCCCAACUGAGGUGCAAUGGCAUGCAAAAGCUAGGAUUAAUGCUGGGACCAACUUUUAUGUAGUUGGUAGGGACCCAGCUGGCAUGGGCCUUGAGGCAGAGUAUGUAAAGGUACAGAGCAUAGCUCCUGGCCUAGAGCGGCUAAACAUCCUUCCAUUCAAGGUAUGUAAAGCAUUGGACCAUCACUAAUAGUACACACGUGGAGUUUAUGCUCAAUUUCUUUAGUAAUGAAAUUAAUGGUGUUAUAAUUAAAUUGGUUUUGCUUGCAGGUUGCAGCGUAUGACAAGACUCAAGGCAAAAUGGCAUUCUUUGAUCCUUCAAGGGCUCAGGAAUUCCUCUUCAUAUCAGGCACCAAGAUGCGAACGCUCGCAAGGAACAAAGAGAAUCCUCCGGAUGGAUUUAUGUGCCCUGGUGGCUGGAAAGUGCUGGUUGAAUACUACGACAGUCUGGCUCCAGCUGACAAUGGCAAAGUCCCCGUUCCAGCUUAGAUGAAAUAGCUGUAUGAUAAUGUAUUUGUCAUUUGAUUGGGAGAAACUUUACAGCCGAUUUAUCUCCACUGUCAGCUGUCACAUCCAGAUUGUGAAAAAAAUUCUCUGUCCAGAUUUCUUAAUAAAACCAAGGUGAGGCACUGGUACAGAGACACAAGAUUUGCCUCUUUAUGUAAUUAAAGUGCCACUCUUGUGGCAUCUUACAUUACACUGUCAUUCUCAUGUCCUCCAUGAGAUUGCGUUGUACCAUAUUUGUGGUUUGUGUUCCAAUGGAAAACAGAGGUCCUGGGUUGUCUUAAAAACGUCAUUUGAUGUUUUAGUUUUAGAAUAUGUUCCAUUUGAUAUUUGUGGAAUUUCAUUUUCUUAAAAACGUCAUGUGGGCUUUCAAUUCUUAAAGUACAUGGGCAUCAUCGGUUGACAAUUAUUAUUACGUCUUCAUUGUAAGUGCUCUUGACCAUCUGUUUUCGCAUAAAGGAAAUAACAAAAAAAGCCAAACUAAUGGCGCUGUACUACAGCGAAAACAGAUGGGGUGGUGGGUUCUCAAUUUAUCAAGUUCAUUGCUAACAAAAAGUUGAACUUCUUUUUUCUUUUUAAUUUUAUGUUCUGUUUUGUAAUUGCCAAGUUAUAUAUGCGGCUGUGUUUCUCUCUUUCUUUCUUUCUUCUGACAUACAAGAUACAAGUGUACAUAAAUGUAUGUUUCGUGUUCGAUAAAAUUACACGUUUAACGCUCUAAGUAUCUCCGGUGGGUGGAAGCAAAUAUGCAAUGAUGUUGAUUCUUUGGUUUACUUCCUUGAUGACCAUUUGAUGAGCUUUCAAUUCGUUUGCAAGGGUCAAAUGUCUUGUACCCAAGAACUAGAAAUUAAAAAGAGACAGAAGUCCGCUCUUCCAUUCUCAGUAGA